rnacentral:rRNA from 1 species
CCUACGGGGGGCAGCAGUGGGGAAUAUUGCACAAUGGGCGAAAGCCUGAUGCAGCAACGCCGCGCGAGCGAUGAAGGCCUUCGGGUCGUAAAGCUCUGUCCUCAAGGAAGAUAAUGACGGUACUUGAGGAGGAAGCCCCGGCUAACUACGUGCCAGCAGCCGCGGUAAUACGUAGGGGGCUAGCGUUAUCCGGAAUGACUGGGCGUAAAGGGUGCGUAGGCGGUGUAGCAAGUUAGAAGUGAAAUACCUAGAGCUUAACUCAGGUGCUGCUUCUAAAACUGCUAUACUUGAGUGCAGUAGAGGAA